UCCCUAGUGGUUCCUCUAAAGGGCCAUCCAAACACAUUUAGAUAGUUGUGAGGUCAAAAAACGCUCCCAGUGGCCUCUCUAUCCUGUCAUCUAAAUUUAGACGAGCUCUCAAAUCAUCGCUCCAUCCUCCAGAUAUAGAGGACCAAGCCACGACCAUCGAAGCCAAAUCGCUCGCCCGCGCUCUCCUUCCCGCGCGCACCUGGAGACCAGAAAAAGAGGCGGGAGCGCUCCCGCGAGGUCGCCGUCGCCGUCGCUCCACUCGCCGGCCAGCCAGAUAAAUGGAUAACUCACAGACGGAUGACAUUGGGUUUUUAGACAUGUUGAAUGGGGGAUCAGGUGAAGUGAAUUGGAGUGGCACACAAUAUUCUAGCCCAAUCAGUGAACAAGAGAAGAUGCCAACUCCGGAUGUUUCUCAUUGUUUCGCAUCCGCAUUUGCAAAAUCAAAACAAAAGAAGGCAAAAGCACCGUCGACGAAAGGGAAAAAUUGGUCUAGCGAUGAAGACAAGGUGUUGAUAGCGGCAUGGGGAAACACUAGUUUGGAUGCGGUGACCGGGACAGAUCAAAACUCAAGUUGUUAUUGGAAUAGGAUUUUAGAUUACUACAA